rnacentral:rRNA from 1 species
UAAUACGAAGGCAGCAAGCGUUGUUCGGAAUUACUGGGCGUAAAGAGUGUGUAGGCUGUUCUCUAAGUUUGGUGUGAAAUCUCCCGGCUCAACCGGGAGGGUGCACCGAAAACUGUAGGGCUUGAGUAUGGGAGAGGAAAGCGGAAUUCCUGGUGUAGCGGUGAAAUGCGUAGAUAUCGGAAGGAACACCUGUGGCGAAAGCGGCUCACUGGACCAUUACUGACGCUGAUGCACGAAAGCUAGGGGAGCAAACAGGAUUAGAUACCCUGGUAGUCCUAGCCCUAAACGAUGAUUGCUUGAUGUGGAGGGUACCCAAUCCUUCCGUGUCGAAGCUAACGCGAUAAGCAAUCCGCCUGGGGAGUACGGUCGCAAGGCU